rnacentral:rRNA from 1 species
CCUACGUGUGGCAGCAGUGGGGGAUAUUGGACAAUGGGGGGAACCCUGAUCCAGCGACGCCGCGUGAGUGAAGAAGUAUCUCGGUAUGUAAAGCUCUAUCAGCAGGGAAGAAGAAAUGACGGCACCUGCGUAAGAAGCCCCGGCUAACUACGUGCCAGCAGCCGCGGUAAUACGUAGGGGGCAAGCGUUAUGCGGAAUUACUGGGUGUAAAGGGAGCGUAGGUGGUGAUGUAAGUCUGGAGUGAAAGGCGGGGGCCCAACCCCCGGACUGCUCUGGAAACUAUGUGACUUGAGUGCAGGAGAGGUGAACAGAAUUCCUAGUGUAGCGGUGAAAUUCUUCGAUAUUAGGAGGAACACCAGUGGCGAAGGCGGCUCACUGGACUGUAACUGACGUUGAGGCUCGAAAGCGUGGGGAGCACACAGGAUUAGAUACCCCAGUAGUC